GACGAACGCUGGCGGCGUGCCUAAUACAUGCAAGUAGAACGCACAGUUUAUACCGUAGCUUGCUACACCAUAAACUGUGAGUUGCGAACGGGUGAGUAACGCGUAGGUAACCUGCCUGGUAGCGGGGGAUAACUAUUGGAAACGAUAGCUAAUACCGCAUAAUAUUAAUUAUUGCAUGAUAAUUGAUUGAAAGAUGCAAUUGCAUCACUACCAGAUGGACCUGCGUUGUAUUAGCUAGUAGGUGAGGUAACGGCUCACCUAGGCGACGAUACAUAGCCGACCUGAGAGGGUGAUCGGUCACACUGGGACUGAGACACGGCCCAGACUCCUACGGGAGGCAGCAGUAGGGAAUCUUCGGCAAUGGACGAAAGUCUGACCGAGCAACGCCGCGUGAGUGAAGAAGGUUUUCGGAUCGUAAAGCUCUGUUGUAAGAGAAGAACGGGUGUGAGAGUGGAAAGUUCACACUGUGACGGUAUCUUACCAGAAAGGGACGGCUAACUACGUG
rnacentral:rRNA from 1 species